AGGAUAAUAGUUUAUUAAAACAUUUAAUUUGCAUUUAAAAAAUCUAAUUUCUAUAAAUAAUUUAUUAGUUAUCUUA
rnacentral:tRNA from 1 species